GAUGAACGCUGGCGGCGUGCCUAAUACAUGCAAGUCGAGCGAACAGACGAGGAGCUUGCUCCUCUGACGUUAGCGGCGGACGGGUGAGUCACACGAGGAUAACCCCCCUAUCAGACUGGGAUAACUUCGGGAAACCGGAGCUAAUACCGGACAAUAUAUUGAACCGCAUGGUUCAAUAGUGAAAGACGGUUUUGCUGUCACUUAUAGAUGGAUCCGCGCCGCAUUAGCUAGUUGGUAAGGUAACGGCUUACCACGGGGACGAUGCGUAGCCGACCUGAGCGGGUGAUCGGCCACACUGGAACUUAGACACCGUCCAGACUCCUGCGGGAGGCAGCAGUAGGGAAUCUUCCGCAAUGGGCGAAAGCCUGACGGAGCGACGCCGCGUGAGUGAUGAAGGUCUUCGGUUCGUAAAACCCGGUUAUUAGUGAAGAACAAAUGUGUAAGUAACUAUGCACGUCUUGACGGUACCUAAUCAGAAAGCCCCGGCUAACUACGUG
rnacentral:rRNA from 1 species